UACGGAGGAUCCGAGCGUUAUCCGGAUUUAUUGGGUUUAAAGGGUGCGUAGGCGGCUUUUUAAGUCAGCGGUGAAAUUUUGCAGCUUAACUGUAACAGUGCCGUUGAUACUGGGGAGCUAGGAUUUGGUUGCUGUGGGUGGAAUGUGUGGUGUAGCGGUGAAAUGCAUAGAUAUCACGCAGAACUCCGAUUGCGAUGGCAGCUUACUAAACCAUAACUGAUACUGAAGCACGAAAGCGUGGGUAUCAAACAGGAUUAGAUA
rnacentral:rRNA from 1 species